rnacentral:rRNA from 1 species
GACAGAGGUGGCAAGCGUUGCUCGGAUUCACUGGGCUUAAAGGGCGCGUAGGCGGCUUUGUAAGUCCGAGGUGGAAUUCCACAGCUUAACUGUGGAACUGCCUUGGAAACUGCAAGGCUUGAGUCAGGUAGAGGGAGGCGGAAUUCCCGGUGUAGCGGUGAAAUGCGUAGAUAUCGGGAGGAAGGCCGGUGGCGAAGGCGGCCAUCUGGCUGGUAACUGACGCUGAGGUGCGAGAGCGUGGGGAGCAAACCGG